rnacentral:rRNA from 1 species
GCUUGUCUCAAAGAUUAAGCCAUGCAUGUCUAAGUGUAAAUACGUCUACACUGUGAAACUGCGAAUGGCUCAUUAAAUCAGUUAUCGUUUAUUUGAUGAUCUCUUGUUACAUGGAUAACCGUAGUAAUUCUAGAGCUAAUACAUGCACAAAAUCCCGACUUACGAAGGGAUGUAUUUAUUAGAUACAAACCAACAUCGUGGUGAUUCAUAAUAACUUUGCGAAUCGUAUGCCUCACGGCGACGAUGAAUCAUUCAAAUUUCUGCCCUAUCAACUUUCGAUGGUAAGGUAUUGGCCUACCAUGGUUACCACGGGUAACGGGGAAUUAGGGUUCGGUUCCGGAGAGGGGGCCUGAGAAAUGGCCACCACAUCCAAGGAAGGCAGCAGG